rnacentral:misc_RNA from 1 species
GCAACAGUGAACACUGAACAAUCUUAGCAAAUCCCCAAUUUGGUUAACAUCGCCAUCACCAAUACCUCGCAAAACCUCAACCUGUAUUCAUGAUUCAGCCUUCACUUUAUGCUGCCAUAGCGGAAGGAUGAUGCUAGCUAGGAGCCGUAGACGUCUUUCACUAGCCGCUUCUACUCCAGUUCUGAAAAAUAGUUUUCGGGUUCAUCAGAUAAUGGGUAUGAUUGAUUCCAUUUCCUAUCUUCAUACUUGUAGUUCCAGCAGCAAUAGUAGUGGACAUGUGAGAGAAAAGAGCAAAUAUGUUUCAUUUAGUAUAAUUAAUGAUGCCUUAGCUUCAUUUAAUCAGAUGAUUCAUAUGAACACCCUACCUUCUACUGCAGAAUUUAAUAAAUUGUUAUCUGCACUUGUGAGAAUGAAACAUUACGAAACAGUGAUUUCUUUGUGGAAACAAAUGGAAUUUCUGGGAAUUUCACUUGAUAUUUAUACCAUUAACAUUUUGACUAAUUGCUUCUGCCACUUGCGCCAUGUGGAUUUUGGAUUCUCUCUUUUGGGGAAAACAAUCAAACUUGGCUUUCAGGUUGAAAUUAUAAUGCUUAAUACUUUAAUUAAUGGGCUUUGUAGAAAGAGUAAGAUUGUUAAAGCAGUGGAAUUGUUUGAUGAGAUAGUGGCUAAUGGGUAUAAACCUAAUGUUUAUACAUAUACUGUG